rnacentral:lncRNA from 1 species
AAAAAAAAAAAAUUAGGGAGUUCCCAUUGUGGUGCAGUGGAAACUAAUCCGACUAGGAACCGUGAGGUUGCAGGGAUUGAACCUGCUUCCUCAUGGAUACUAGUCAGAUUCGUUUCUGCUGCGCCUCAAAGGGAGCUCCUCUACCUCAUUUUUAAUAUAGUAAAUCAGUGUUCACAGCUGUUUACCUUCAAAGACAAUGAAGUAAUUAUCUAGCUGGGCAGAUAAGUUUUAAAAAGAUACAGAUAACGGAUUAAUAUCUUAUUUCCGUUCCAUAGUUUUAUGAUCUGUGCUGAACCCCCAAAUUUAAGCAGUAACAGAUUAUUUCCUAAUCACUGCUUUUAAAGCUAAAGAUAUUCAAAUAAUAUCCUCAGGUCAUGUUAAAAUUUUUAGUUUGAGUUGUUUUUUUCCCUAAUUCUUGUUCAGGGUAGAAAUUGUAUGAAAGGUCAAAAUUUGAGUGCACUUGCUGUCAAAAGAUCUCUAAACAAUUCAGUUAAUGUCCAAGUCACAACUCAGUUAAUAUCCAAGGGAUUGGAGCUGCUGCAGAGACCGUGUUGGAUCCUUAACCCACUGCAUCACAGUGGGAACUCCUCCAAGUCACUUUAAAAAAAAUAACUUUAUUGAUAUAAAUCAUACACCACAUUCUAUCCUAUAAAUCAUACACCACAUUCUAUCCAUCUGAAGAGUACAGUUUGGUGGUUUUAGUAUACUCACAGCUUUGUAUAGCCACCACCACAGUAUUCAUUACUCCAACAAGAAACCCCAUACCAGUUAAUGGUUACUCCUCAUUUUUCCUCAUAUCCAUACCCCAGAUCCUGAAAACCACUAUUUUACUUUCUGUCUCUAUGAAUUUGCAUAUUUUGAACAUCUCCUAAAAAAGAAUCAUAUAAUAUGUGGUCUUUUGUGACUGGCUGCAUUCAUUUAGCAUAGUAUUUUCAAGGUACAUCCAUGUUGUAGCAUGACUCAGAACUUUAUUUUAUUUUAUUUAUUUUUUCUCUUUUUUCUAAGGCUGCACCCAUGGCAUAUGGAGAUUCCCAGGCUAGGGGUCGAAUUGGAGCUGUUGCCGCUGGCCUACAGCAGAGCCCUAGCAACGCGGGAUCUGAGCCGUGUCUGUGACCUACACCACAGCUCAUGGCAACGCCGGAUCCUUAACCCACUGAGCAAGGCCAGGGAUCAAACCCACGACCUCAUGGUUCCUAAGCUGAUUCUUUAACCACUGAGCCAUGACAAGAACUCCAAACUUCUUUUUUUUAUAACUUAAUUUUAUUGCUGAAAAAAAUCCAUUCAUCAUUUUAAAGAUUUUUGGUUUUUUUUUUCUUUUUUUUUUUUUGUUUUUUUGCCAUUUCUUGGGCCGCUCCCGCGGCAUAUGGAGUUUCCCAGGCUAGGGGUCGAAUUGGAGCUGUUGCCGCUGGCCUACAGCAGAGCCCUAGCAACGCGGGAUCUGAGCCUUGUCUGUGACCUACACCACAGCUCACGGCAACGCCGGAUAGUUAACCCAUUGAGCAAGGGCAGAGAUCGAACCCGCAACCUCAUGGUUCCUAGUCGGAUUCGUUGACCACUGCACCACGACGGGAACUCCUGUUUCUACAUUUUGUUUAUUAUGAAUCAUGCUGCUCUGAACAUUUGUGAAUAAAUUGUGUGGGCAUUUCAUUUCUUUUUGGAAUUCUGGGUCAUAUGGACACUGUUUACCUUUUUGAGGAACUGUCAAAACUGUUUUUCAAAGUGUUCGUACCAUUUUAGGUUCACAUCAGCAGUGUAUAAGGAUUCCAAUUUUUCCACAUACUCACUAAUAGCUCCUUUUGACCAUCUUUUAAAUUAUACCCAUUCUGGUGGGUAUGAGAUAGUAUCUUGUGUUUAUUUCUGUUGUGGUAAAAUAUACAUAAUAUUUAUCAUUUUUACCAUUUGUAAAUGUAGAGUUCAUUGGCAUUAAAUACAUUCACAAAAUGUCACGAUCACCACCAUCUGUACCCAAAACUUUUUUUAUCAUCCCUAACAAAAACUUUGUACCCAUCUUGUUAGUCUCUUUAAUAAAUGGUGCUGAGUCACUUGGAUAUCCACAUGUGUAAGAAAGAAAGUUGGACCCUUAUCUCACACUGUAUACAACUAAAAAUGGAACAAAUACUUAAAUUUCAGAGCUAAAGCUAUAAAAACCUUAGGAGGAAACGUAAGGGCUAAUCUUCAUCACCUUGGAUUUGUCAGUGGUCUCUAAGAUGCAAGAAGCAGAGCGAACAAAAGAAAAA